rnacentral:rRNA from 1 species
ACUUUACAAUGCUGGCAACAGCGAUAAGGGAACCUCGAGUGCCAGGUUACAAAUCUGGCUGUCGAGAUGCCUAAAAAGCAUUUCAUAGCAAGGGCCGGGCAAGACCGGUGCCAGCCGCCGCGGUAACACCGGCGGCUCGAGUGGUAACCGUUAUUAUUGGGUCUAAAGGGUCUGUAGCCGGCCGGAUAAGUCUCUUGAGAAAUCUGGCAGCUUAACUGUCAGGCUUUCAGGAGAUACUGUCUGGCUCGAGGCCGGGAGAGGUGGGAGGUACUUCAGGGGUAGGGGUGAAAUCUUGUGAUCUCUGGAGGACCGCCAGUGGCGAAGGCGUCUCACCAGAACGGACCUGACGGCAAG